rnacentral:tRNA from 1 species
GCUUUCUUGGCGAAAUUGGUAGACGCGAUAGACUUAAAAUCUAUUCCUUAUUUUCAGGGUAUCGGUUCAAGUCCGAUAGUAAGCA